AAGAUAGGAUCCUUCUUGUGUCCUUUGUUUUAAGACAUUUCUCUCACUUUGAAAUUAAACUUCCUUCUCCAGUUUCUAGCUUGAUCUGUUCAGCUCUGGCCAUCCACAGAUUAAAGAGUUCAACACAUAUAUACCUCAUCUGGUGAGUCCUCUGCCCUUCUACAUGUGAUCCUCCUCCUUUGGUCAAGAUCACCAUUCUUUGUGAAAGAAACCCCAAGGAUCCUUCAGUGACCUAAUUUGUCUCAGAUCACUCUGGUCCCUACUAGAUCCUUCUACUAUUCCCACAGCUGCCAAAUUUAUGGGUGUGGACAUCUCCUGAGUGGACAACAUAUUCUUCAAGGUCGAUCUAGUAUAGACCCAGAAGCAGUAAACAUCCAGAUGAGACAACUAUCCCAAGAUUCCAGACGAAUGCUGAUUAUGCUGAACUCUGCCCUUUUGUUAUGUGCUCAACCACCAAGGACCUGAAUUAAAUGCAUGUUGACAUUUUUUUCCUCUACAUUCUUCCCCCUUCCUUUUCUGCUUGCAAAUAAACAAUGGCUAGUAAUAAUACCUGGAAUACAUUUCCAUCUAUUGGGUUAGAUUCCCAACCCCCCCCCCAAGCAACUGACCUCAUGGGGUAAAAAUGAUCAUCCUGGCCCAACUGUCCCCUUGUGGGAUCUUGGCUUAUACCCACCUCUACUUUAUUGACCAAUAGGAGAGGAGUUACUUCAGACCCUCCUCCCUUUGGCCAAAAAGGGAAAAUGUGAAGAAAUUAGGAGACAGCCUGUUUUCCAGAGCUAAGUUCCAGAAAUCAGGCUGUGCCCUGAACUUAGCAUAACAACAAUCCUUUGUGCUUAUCCUCUGGAUGAUCUCAUUCCCUGUCAAAAUUACAUAAUUCUUGUAUUGCUUUGACCAGCAUCGGGUCUUGAGUUCAGACAAGUUCUAGUCAUGAAGCCCCCUCAGGAAUCAAAUCAGUCACAUUGUUGCUGUUACCCCUCAUUUCCAAGGCUACAACUCACUGCACAAUCAUGAUACAAAUAUUGAGAUGUUCCCACAUUGUCUCAAGUACCCCCCAAUUAAGAGCAGGAUCCCUAUAUGUGUGUCCUUAUUUGCAAGCCAUUUCCCUCAUUUUGUGUUCAAUUCCUGACUCUCCCAUCUCUAGCCUGUUCUGUUUAAUUCUGACCAUCCACAAGUUAGAGGCCAGUUGAGUUUAGUUGACAUAUUAAUGGGUCUCUCUCUACCCAGGUAUGCUAAUUUGGUAUCUGUUGGCAGUUGCUAUCAACAGGAACUACUUUUAAGAUAGCUGAAAGGGACACUUUCAUAGGAGACUGGGAGUUGGUAAGUCCAAAGCUCUCUUAGCCUAAGUGUAAAGUAGGUCAGCUAAACUAAAAAUAUCUAGGGGUUCUAGUGAAGUGCAAAGUUUAGACUCUGUCCUGGACCUUCUUUAAGAAUCAUACGUAAAUUUGGAACUGGAAGAGAGACUUUAGGAGGACAUCUAUUGCCUGAUUUUAUAGAUAAGGAAACUAGUCCCAAAAUGACUUAUCCACGUAACACAUGACAAAGUUAAGAGUGAAUCCAUGUCCUCUGAGUCUAUUUCUAUUUCAUCUUUUCUCUCUCCUCUCAACUCCCAUUGAUUCAUUUAUUAUCUGAAUGUAGCCCUGACUAGGACACACCUGCUUUAGAUUUUAUCCAGAGGAUCAGAACAUUAAAGAUAAACUGAUUAGACAGAUAUUUUUCAGUCCUCUUUUUCAACUCUACCCCAAAGACAGUUUUACUCUGACUUUGGGACUAGUAAGGGGCUAACCAAGUCUCAUAAACUUUCCGCUGAUGCAUAGAAAGGAAGGAAGGAUCAACCAAUCUCUGGUUAAAGAAGGAAGGAAGGAAGGAAAGAUGAAGGAGAGAAAAAGGAAGAAAAAAUGAGAGAUCCUGAAGAGAUAGAAGCUAUAGAGAGCCUGUUGCCAAGAGCUCAUCAGUCCUAGGAAUCCAGAACCAGUAAUACCAAGAAAUCCUGCAAAAACUCCAUCAGAAUGAAUCAUGCAUUUCUUAAAUCCCUUUAGGUUGCAGUCAGGAGCCAGAGAUUUUUCAUUUCUUUCUUCCCAGGUCCCUCUCCCAGACUGUACUUCUUGAGUGAUAUCUCCCUAAAUGAUGAGAGACUCUAUCUUUGUUUCUUAAAAGUUGGCUUACCUUUGUUUGUUUACUUUGUUUUCUUAGGCAAAUGUGGUUAAACUGUAGAUAAGAAUCUGCUAAAUUAUGUGUGCUAUUAUUUUCAUGAAAUGUUGAGUGGAGUGAUUGGGAACAGCCUAGGAGGGAAGAGAGAUAAAUUGAAAACUGACUUAUUUUGUCAAAGUAAGAUUUCUGGCUGGGGGUUCAGAGCUUAGAGGGGAAAUGAUAUUGAUUUAUUUUUCUUUCUUUUCCUUUCCUUUCUUUUACUUUUUUUUUCUCACAACUUCCCAAGGCAAAGAGAGUACAUUUAUCACAAUCCCUCUGGACAAAUGAAUUAGCAGCAGUAACUGGGAAUAUAAUUGGCUAAGCUGGCAUUGAAGCAAGAGUUAACCAUUAUUAUGGUCUGGUUUUAAAAAAAAUCAUUCCUACAGAAGCCAGGGAAUGGCUAAAGAGAAAGUAGGAGAAAGAGCCCUGCUCAGAAAAGGGAAGAGCAAGGGAAUCUGCCAGUUCUACUUGCCUGUAUCAACUCAGCCUAAUACCAUGACCAUAUCAUCAUCCAUCACUAUCAUUUGUACAGUGCUUAAAGCUUUGCAAAGUAUUUUAUAUUAUCUCAUUUGAUCCUAACAACAAUUUUGGAAAGUAUUUACCAUUAUUAUUCCCCCAUUUUACACAUGACAAAACUGAUGUAGGAGCAAGUUAAGUGAUUU